AUGUACAGCCACGCGACCCUGAAUGUGCCCGAUCCCAUCUGAUCUCGGACGCUAAGCAGGGUCAGGCCUGGUUAGUACUUAGAUGGGAGACCACCUAGGAAGACCAGGUGCUGUAGGUG
rnacentral:rRNA from 1 species